rnacentral:lncRNA from 1 species
CACCAACACCUCAAUUGGAAUGUACAAAUCAAAGCAGGCCAUUGCCCACUCAAAGAGCACAAUAUGAGUUUGAUAUGGGAGCUUGAAAUUCUCAUAUAGCUGGAGUCCAAAAUGGUUGCCUGACGGAGAUAGAUAGCAAGGAAUGAGCUCCAUUGCUCACAGUAGAGAUGUCUCUACAGCAAGAGUUUGGGGUUGACAGUUCUGAGACAUCUUCU